GAUGAACGCUAGCGGCAGGCUUAAUACAUGCAAGUCGAGGGGUAACAGGUCCUUCGGGAUGCUGACGACCGGCAAACGGGUGAGUAACGCGUAUGCAAUCUACCUCUAACUGGGGCACAACUUUGGGAAACUGAAGCUAAUUCCCCGUAACAAUACGGAAUCGCAUGGUUUUGUAUUUAUAAUUCCGAUGGUUAGAGAUGAGCGUGCGUCCGAUUAGAUAGUUGGCGGGGUAACGGCCCACCAAGUCGACGAUCGGUAGCUGAUGUGAGAGCAUGAUCAGCCACACGGGCAAUGAGACACGGGCCCGACUCCUACGUGAGGCAGCAGUAGGGAAUAUUGGGCAAUGGAGGCAACUCUGACCCAGCCAUGCCGCGUGAAGGAUGAAUGUCCUAUGGAUUGUAAACUUCUUUUGUUAGGGACGAAACCCCUGGAUUCAUCCGGGGCUGACGGUACCUAAAGAAUAAGCACCGGCUAACUCCGUGCCAGCCGCCGCUGUAAAAC
rnacentral:rRNA from 1 species